UAGGGAAUCUUCGGCAAUGGACGAAAGUCUGACCGAGCAACGCCGCGUGAGUGAAGAAGGUUUUCGGAUCGUAAAACUCUGUUGUUAGAGAAGAACAAGGACGUUAGUAACUGAACGUCCCCUGACGGUAUCUAACCAGAAAGCCACGGCUAACUACGUGCCAGCAGCCGCGGUAAUACGUAGGUGGCAAGCGUUGUCCGGAUUUAUUGGGCGUAAAGCGAGCGCAGGCGGUUUCUUAAGUCUGAUGUGAAAGCCCCCGGCUCAACCGUGGAGGGUCAUUGGAAACUGGGAGACUUGAGUGCAGAAGAGGAGAGUGGAAUUCCAUGUGUAGCGGUGAAAUGCGUAGAUAUAUGGAGGAACACCAGUGGCGACGGCGGCUCUCUGGUCUGUAACUGACGCUGAGGCUCGAAAGCGUGGGGAGCAAACAGG
rnacentral:rRNA from 1 species